rnacentral:rRNA from 1 species
UACGUAGGGGGCAAGCGUUGUCCGGAAUUACUGGGCGUAAAGGGCUCGUAGGCGGCCAACUAAGUCAUACGUGAAAUCCCUCGGCUUAACCGGGGAACUGCGUCUGAUACUGGAUGGCUUGAGAUUGGGAGAGGGAUGCGGAAUUCCAGGUGUAGCGGUGAAAUGCGUAGAUAUCUGGAGGAAUACCGGUGGCGAAGGCGGCAUCCUGGACCGACAUUGACGCUGAUGAGCGAAAGCUAGGGGAGCAACGGG